GGUGUCUUCGGACGCCGGCAUACGGCUCAGUAACACGUAGGUAACCUACCCUCAGGACUGAGAUAACCCCGGGAAACUGGGGCUAAUAUUAGAUAGAUAAAAGAUACUGGAAUGUUCUUUUAUCCAAAGCUUUUGCGCCUGAGGAUGGGCCUGCGUCCGAUUAGGUCGUUGGUGGGGUAAUGGCCCACCAAGCCUGCGAUCGGUACGGGCAGUGGAAGCUGAAGCCCGGAGUUGGGGACUGAGACAAGGCCCCAGGCCCUACGGGGCGCAGCAGGCGCGAAACCUCUGCAAUGCGGGAAACCGUGACAGGGGGAUCCCAAGUGCUCAUGCAUUGCAUGGGCUGUUCUUUGGUCUAAGUAACCAGAGGGGUAAGGGCUGGGCAAGACCGGUGCCAGCCGCCGCGGUAAUACCGGCAGCUCAAGUGGUAGCCGCGAUUAUUGGGCCUAAAACGUUCGUAGCCGGAUAAGUAAGUCUUUGGUUAAAUCCUGCGACUCAACCGUGGGAAUUCUAGAGAUACUGCUCGUCUUGAGACCGGGAGAGGUUGGAGGUACUCCUAGGGUAGGGGUGAAAUCCUGUAAUCCUAGGGGGACCACCUGUGGCGAA
rnacentral:rRNA from 1 species